GUCUAUGGCCAUGCUACCCUGAACAAGCCCGAUCCUGUCUGACCUCGAAAGCUAAGCAGAGUCAAGCCUGAUUAGUACUGGGAUGGGAGACCACCUAGGAAGACCAGGUGCUGUAGGCG
rnacentral:rRNA from 1 species